UUUGAUCCUGGCUCAGAACGAACGCUGGCGGCAGGCCUAACACAUGCAAGUCGAGCGAACCCUUCGGGGUUAGCGGCGGACGGGUUAGUAACGCGUGGGAAUAUACCCUUUGGUACGGAAUAGCCUCGGGAAACUGAGAGUAAUACCGUAUGUGCCCUUCGGGGAAAGAUUUAUCGCCAAAGGAUUAGCCCGCGUUGGAUUAGAUAGUUGGUGGGGUAAUGGCCUACCAAGUCUACGAUCCAUAGCUGGUUUGAGAGGAUGAUCAGCAACACUGGGACUGAGACACGGCCCAGACUCCUACGGGAGGCAGCAGUGGGGAAUCUUAGACAAUGGGCGCAAGCCUGAUCUAGCCAUGCCGCGUGGACGAUGAAGGCCUUAGGGUUGUAAAGUCCUUUCAGAUGGGAAGAUAAUGACGGUACCAUCAGAAGAAGCCCCGGCUAACUCCGUG
rnacentral:rRNA from 1 species